UCACCAUGGAAAAAGGCAAAGAACUCAUAAAUGAAAAGAAGGAAGUCACCCCCCUCCACAGACAACAUAUAAUUAUGAACACAUAAGUUGGAGAUUCCCACAGCUGCAAUCAUUCCAAACAUGACGAGGAACAUGCCUCCGAUGACCGGAUCUGGGAUGGUGAUGAAAACGGCCCCGAACUUCCCAACGAGUCCUAGGAUAAUCAUCAGGAGACCAGCGGUCUGAAGGACCAGUCUGCUGCCAACCUGGCAUGAUGGGCACAACGAAGAGGGCACAGCAUUACAAGUCAUUAAUCAUUAAGGAUGUGGUGCCGUUCCCGCUGCCCCACAGCGCUGCCAGGAUGCAGCCAAUGCCCUCCACAGCGAUACCCCGGUUGAUUGCGUGGGUGGGCGGAGGAGGGGCACCGGACAGACGGGCACAGGCAUAGUAGUCCCC